rnacentral:rRNA from 1 species
GACACUAUGUGUUGUUGGGUAGGGGAGCGUUCUGUAAGCCUGUGAAGGUGUGUCGUGAGGCAUGCUGGAGGUAUCAGAAGUGCGAAUGCUGACAUAAGUAACGAUAAAGCGGGUGAAAAGCCCGCUCGCCGGAAGACCAAGGGUUCCUGUCCAACGUUAAUCGGGGCAGGGUGAGUCGACCCCUAAGGCGAGGCCGAAAGGCGUAGUCGAUGGGAAACGGGUUAAUAUUCCCGUACUUGGUGUUACUGCGAAGGGGGGACGGAGAAGGCUAUGUUGGCCGGGCGACGGUUGUCCCGGUUUAAGCGUGUAGGUGUGUGUUCCAGGUAAAUCCGGUUCACUUUAACACUGAGGCGUGACGACGAGGCACUACGGUGCUGAAGCAACAAAUGCCCUGCUUCCAGGAAAAGCCUCUAAGCAUCAGGUAACAUCAAAUCGUACCCCAAACCGACACAGGUGGUCAGGUAGAGAAUACCAAGGCGCUUGAGAGAACUCGGGUGAAGGAACUAGGCAAAAUGGUGCCGUAACUUCGGGAGAAGGCACGCUGACACGUAGGUGAAGUGAUUUACUCAUGGAGCUGAAGUCAGUCGAAGAUACCAGCUGGCUGCAACUGUUUAUUAAAAACACAGCACUGUGCAAACACGAAAGUGGACGUAUACGGUGUGACGCCUGCCCGGUGCCGGAAGGUUAAUUGAUGGGGUCAGCGCAAGCGAAGCUCCUGAUCGAAGCCCCGGUAAACGGCGGCCGUAACUAUAACGGUCCUAAGGUAGCGAAAUUCCUUGUCGGGUAAGUUCCGACCUGCACGAAUGGCGUAAUGAUGGCCAGGCUGUCUCCACCCGAGACUCAGUGAAAUUGAACUCGCUGUGAAGAUGCAGUGUACCCGCGGCAAGACGGAAAGACCCCGUGAACCUUUACUAUAGCUUGACACUGAACAUUGAGCCUUGAUGUGUAGGAUAGGUGGGAGGCUUUGAAGUGUGGACGCCAGUCUGCAUGGAGCCGACCUUGAAAUACCACCCUUUAAUGUUUGAUGUUCUAACGUGGACCCGUGAUCCGGGUUGCGGACAGUGUCUGGUGGGUAGUUUGACUGGGGCGGUCUCCUCCUAAAGAGUAACGGAGGAGCACGAAGGUUGGCUAAUCCUGGUCGGACAUCAGGAGGUUAGUGCAAUGGCAUAAGCCAGCUUGACUGCGAGCGUGACGGCGCGAGCAGGUGCGAAAGCAGGUCAUAGUGAUCCGGUGGUUCUGAAUGGAAGGGCCAUCGCUCAACGGAUAAAAGGUACUCCGGGGAUAACAGGCUGAUACCGCCCAAGAGUUCAUAUCGACGGCGGUGUUUGGCACCUCGAUGUCGGCUCAUCACAUCCUGGGGCUGAAGUAGGUCCCAAGGGUAUGGCUGUUCGCCAUUUAAAGUGGUACGCGAGCUGGGUUUAGAACGUCGUGAGACAGUUCGGUCCCUAUCUGCCGUGGGCGCUGGAGAACUGAGGGGGGCUGCUCCUAGUACGAGAGGACCGGAGUGGACGCAUCACUGGUGUUCGGGUUGUCAUGCCAAUGGCACUGCCCGGUAGCUAAAUGCGGAAGAGAUAAGUGCUGAAAGCAUCUAAGCACGAAACUUGCCCCGAGAUGAGUUCUCCCUGAGAC